rnacentral:snRNA from 1 species
AUCGCUUCUCGGCCUUUUGGCUAAGAUCAAGUGUAGUACAGUAAAUAAAUAAAUCAUUGUCCCUCUUUUUGUCUGAUGUCAGCACUUUUC